rnacentral:tRNA from 1 species
GCGGGAGUAGCGAAGUCUGGUCAAACGCGUUAGAUUCAGGGUCUAAUCCCUUAGUGGGUUCGGGGGUUCGAAUCCUCCCUCCCGCA